ensembl:lncRNA
CUCGGAGAUAUGAUUUAGAGGAGGGUUGUUAGAGUUAGGGGACUAUGGUUAGGCUGCGCUUGGACCUGAUGAUCUCUGAGGUCCUUUCCAACCUGAGUAAUUCUAUGAUUGUAUGAUUCCUUCUCCAUAACAGAGGUGCUGCAGCCUCUGAGCGAAGCACCUGGAGAAAACCGUUUCCUCUUCUCAUUUGGGGUUGAUGUAGGGCAUGCAAGAGGCAAAUCAUAGAAUCAUAGAAUCGCUAAGGUUGGAAAAGACCCACAGGAUCACCCAGUCCAACCAUCCGCCCUUCACCAAUGGUUCCCGCCAAACCAUGUCCCUCAACACAACAUCCAAACGCUCUUUGAACACCACCAGGGUGGGUGACUCCACCACCUCUCUGGGCAGCCCAUUGCAGUGCCCGACCACCCUUUCAGAGCAGUAGUAUUUCCUAACGUCCAGCCUGAACCUUCCCUGGCGCAGCUUGAAGCCAUUCCCUCUCGUCCUAUCACUGUCACACGAGAGAAGAGGCCAACCCCCAGCUCACUACAACCUCCCUUCAGGCAGUUACACAGAGCAAUCAGGCCUCCCCUGAGCCUCGUCUUCUCCAGACUGAACAAUCCCAGCUCCUUCAGCCGCUCUUCAUAAG